rfam:Candidatus Levybacteria bacterium RIFCSPLOWO2_01_FTLL_42_15 rifcsplowo2_01_scaffold_89754, whole genome shotgun sequence.
AAAAUUACUCAUAAUGCCAACAAUGGAUGCCUUGGAGGUUUUGGCCGAAGAAGGACGCAUAUGACGGCGAUACUCGUCGGGAAGGUGUCAUAAACCUAUGAUCCGGCGGUUUCCGAAUGGGGUAACCCACCCCGCUUAGCGGGGUAGCCCUGAGUAAAAAUAACUCACACCGUAUUUAUAAUUUUUAUUAUUGUUAUAAAGAUUAUAAAUUUUAUAGGUAGGGUGUGGGUUAUAUAGCUCUGGGUGGGGCACGGCGUGAACUGAAACAUCUCAUUAGCGCCAGGAAAAGAAAUAAAAUAGAUUCCCUAAGUAGCGGCGAGCGAAAAGGGAACAGUCUAAACCGAGCUCAGCUCGGUGUUGCAGGGUCUGCAUACGAGAAAGCUAAUGGUAAAAAAAUGCUUUGGAAUGGGCAACCACAGAAGGUGAAAGUCCUGUAUUUGAAACUACUGGCUUUUUCAGCGGAUACCUAAGUACCAUGGGGAAAAUACCCUGUGGGAAUCUGGGGCGACCACGCUCCAAGACUAAAUACCAAAACCUACCGAUAGUGAACUAGUACCGUGAGGGAAAGGUGAAAAGCACCCCGGGAGGGGAAUGAAAUAGACCUGAAAUUGUUGGCUGACAAGCAAUCGAAGCAUCAGCUGUCGCUCCUUGCUUCUAAAUUAAAAGUGUAAAAUGAAAAGUUAAAAAUUACAAUUUUAAAUUAAAAAUUUUUAGUUUUGAUAUGUAAUUUUGCAUUUUUAUUUUUUAAUUUUUAAUUCGGAGCAGCGAGCGAUAGCGAGAUGUAACGGUGUGCCUAUUGAAGAAUGAACCGGUGAGUUCAUCAACGCUGCGUUUAAGCUUAAGCUACUUUGUAGCGAAGGCGCAGUGAAAGCAAGGGCUAAUCGCCCGUCCUGAGAGCAAUCGAAGGGGUAGCGUUGAUGAGACCCGAAACCGGGUGAGCUAACCUUGAGCAGGGUGAACCCCACCGAAAGGCGGGGGGAGGCCCGAACUCGUUACCGUCGCAAUGGUAUGAGAUGACUUGAGGUUAGGGGCAAUAUGCCAAUCGAACCCGGAGAUAGCUGGUUCUCCCCGAAAUAUAUUUUGGUAUAGCGCCCGCCAUAUUUUUGCCUUGGGGUAGAGCACUGGAUGGUUCGUGGCGACGCAAGUUGUCGCAACCAACCAAACUCCGAAUACAAGAGCAAAUAUAGGCGGGUAGUCAGGCUGGUCGGGCUAAGCUGAUCAGUCAAAAGGGAAACAGCCCAGACUCCCAUCUAAGGCCUCUAAAUAAAGACUAAGUUUUAAAGGAAGUCAAAUUCCAUAGACAACCAGGAGGUUGGCUUAGAAGCAGCCAUCCUUUAAAGAAAGCGUAAUAGCUCACUGGAGGACGGUAUUUGGCGCCGAAAAUGUAUCGAGGAUUAAGUCUUUUGCCGAAGAUGGAGAACUUUGUGCGAAGCACAAAGUUGGUAGGGGAGCGUUCUGAAUGCAGUGAAGCCGAGCUGUAAAGCUUGGUGGAGUGUUCAGAAGUGAGAAUGCCGGUAUGAGUAGCGAGAUCCCGCUGAGAACGCGGGACGCCGAAAACCCAAGGUUUCCUCCGCAAUGUAAGUCAGCGGAGGGUAAGUCGGUCCUAAGGGUGUUCCGAGCUCAACUCGGGGUAAUCCGAUGGAUAAGUCGUUGAUAUUCGACUACAGAAUGUGAGCGUCUCUAAGGGAGUGACGAAAGUGGAAGGAUCAACCGAGCUCAGCUCGGCUAAGCAGUGAGAUAGGGCAAACUGGAAAAUCCGUUUGUCUGUUUAAUCAAGCUGUAAUGGAGACCUUGAUAGCAAUAUCGAGGGAUUUGAUUUCUUUCAGUUUCCAAGAAAAACUUCAUUAGUCCCGAACCGCAAGGUGAGGGAAAACUCAUGUUUUACCGUACCGCAAACCGACACAGGUGGGUUGGUCGAGAAGACUAAGGCGAUCGGGAGAAAGAUGAUCAAGGAACUCGGCAAAAAAUCUGGGCGUAACCUUUGGGAGAUGCCCUGUCCUGAGAGAAAUCGAAGGACUGCAACAAAAGAUUAUUUAGCGACUGUUUAUCUAAAACACAGGUCCCUGCAAAGCCGAAAGGCAACGUAUAGGGGCUGACACCUGCCCAGUGCUGGUAAGUCAACUACUGUGGGUAACCCCGAUUUAAUCGGGGAAGCUCGUGGUAUAAGCUCCGGUGAACGGCAGCAGUAACUAUAACUGUUCUAUGGUAGCGAAGUUCCUUGUCGGGUAAGUUCCGACCCGCACGAAAGGUAGAACGACUAAAUAACUGUCUUGAUCAUCUACCCGGCGAAAUUGAGAUGGCUGUGAAGACGCGGCCUAGUUGUCCUUGGACAAAAAGACCCCGGGAGCUUUACUGUAGCUUGACAUUUGAGGGUUUAUUUUAACUGUUGAGAAUAGGAGGGACCCUGAGAGCAAUCGAAGGGGACAGUGAAAUACCUCUCUUUGAAAUGAACACUUAUUACCUUAAGGCCGCAUAAAAAUUCGGCUAAGGAACAGUGUCUGGCGGGCAGUUUAACUGGGGAGGUUGACUCCUACAACGCAACGGAGUCGUACAAAGGUUGGCUAGCUUCGGAUGGAAAUCGAAGUGAUAGCGCAAAGGCAUAAGCCAGCUUAACUGCGAGAGAAACAACUCGAGCAGAUACGAAAGUAGGUCUUAGUGAUCCUCCGCACGAUCGUGGGAUCGGCGGAGCUUAACGGAUAUAAGCUACCCCGGGGAUAACAGGCUGAUCGCCUCCAAGCGUCCACAGCGACGAGGCGGUUUGGCACCUUAUGUAUAAAACAUCGGGGCGCCUACAGAGCAAUCUGUAAGCCUGGUACUUCGUACUAUUUGGCUCAAAAUAGUAUUUAAGUAUAAAAUGUACUAGCUCAAAUCGGUGAAGCCCUUCGACUCGAACAAGUCGUUCAGGGUAAUACCGAGGGAGGUACCAGACGGUACUUCCUCUAUCGACUGAUCCACGUUCAGUUUACAUGAACGUGGUGAGAUAGAUAGUUUUUAUUAUCUAUCACACGGCUAGCCCCGCCAACAGCUACGCAGUUUCGGGCGGGUGAAGGUAUAGUCAAAUCCUUCUGGUAACAGAAGAUCAUGCAGAGCAGAUUUUAACUAAAGUCUGCAUUGCAGACCGACAGCGAUGUCGGCUCAUCGCAUCCUGGGGGUGAAGAAGCUCCCAAGGGUCCGGCUGUUCGCCGGUUAAAGCGGUACGUGAGCUGGGUUAAGAACGAUGUGAAUCAGUUCGGUCUCUAUCCAGGACAACCGUUCGAGANNNNNNNNNNNNNNNNNNNNNNCACGAAAGUGGGCAUCGCUGAGUAGCUAAAUUCCUUUCUGAUAACCGCUGAAAGCAUCUAAGUGGGAAGCAGGCUCCAAGAUAAGAUCUCGUGUCCGCCGAAAGGCGAGACGAAGACCCCUUGUAGAUCACGAGGUUCCUCCAAAGGAGGAUUCUGUCAAGUGGAAGCAAUUCUGCUUUGCAGAAGAUAGGCGGGCGGUGGAAGUUCCGUAAGGAAUUAAGCCUACCCGUACUAAUGGUCAAAGGGUAAUUUUUA